CUGCGGUGAUGACAUCUUAGGACACCUUUGGAUCAACCAUGAAAACAAAGUGUUAAACCUGAGAGCAGC